rnacentral:rRNA from 1 species
ACGCUGGCGGCGUGCCUAAUACAUGCAAGUAGAACGCACAGGAUGCACCGUAGUUUACUACACCGUAUUCUGUGAGUUGCGAACGGGUGAGUAACGCGUAGGUAACCUGCCUGGUAGUGGGGGAUAACUAUUGGAAACGAUAGCUAAUACCGCAUAAGAACAUUUACUGCAUGGUAGAUGUUUAAAAGGUGCAAAAGCAUCACUACCAGAUGGACCUGCGUUGUAUUAGCUAGUUGGUGAGGUAACGGCUCACCAAGGCAACGAUACAUAGCCGACCUGAGAGGGUGAUCGGCCACACUGGGACUGAGACACGGCCCAGACUCCUACGGGAGGCAGCAGUAGGGAAUCUUCGGCAAUGGGGGGAACCCUGACCGAGCAACGCCGCGUGAGUGAAGAAGGUUUUCGGAUCGUAAAGCUCUGUUGUUAAGGAAGAACGUGUGUGAGAGUGGAAAGUUCACACAGUGACGGUACUUAACCAGAAAGGGACGGCUAACUACGUGCCAGCAGCCGCGGUAAUACGUAGGUCCCGAGCGUUGUCCGGAUUUAUUGGGCGUAAAGCGAGCGCAGGCGGUUAGAUAAGUCUGAAGUGAAAGGCAGUGGCUCAACCAUUGUAGGCUUUGGAAACUGUUUAGCUUGAGUGCAGAAGGGGAGAGUGGAAUUCCAUGUGUAGCGGUGAAAUGCGUAGAUAUAUGGAGGAACACCGGUGGCGAAAGCGGCUCUCUGGUCUGUAACUGACGCUGAGGCUCGAAAGCGUGGGGAGCGAACAGGAUUAGAUACCCUGGUAGUCCACGCCGUAAACGAUGAGUGCUAGGUGUUAGGUCCUUUCCGGGACUUAGUGCCGCAGCUAACGCAUUAAGCACUCCGCCUGGGGAGUACGACCGCAAGGUUGAAACUCAAAGGAAUUGACGGGGGCCCGCACAAGCGG